GACGAACGCUGGCGGCGUGCUUAACACAUGCCAGUCGAACGGAAAGGCCCUGCUUGCAGGGUACUCGAGUGGCGAACGGGUGAGUAACACGUGGGUGAUCUGCCCUUCACUUCGGGAUAAGCCUGGGAAACUGGGUCUAAUACCGGAUAGGAGCCAUUUUUAGUGUGAUGGUUGGAAAGUUUUUUCGGUGUAGGAUGAGCUCGCGGCCUAUCAGCUUGUUGGUGGGGUAAUGGCCUACCAAGGCGGCGACGGGUAGCCGGCCCGAGAGGGUGGACGGCCACAUUGGGACUGAGAUAAGGCCCAGACUCCUACGGGAGGCAGCAGUGGGGAAUAUUGCACAAUGGGCGCAAGCCUGAUGCAGCGACGCCGCGUGGGGGAUGACGGCCUUCGGGUUGUAAACUCCUUUCGCUAGGGACGAAGCUUUUUGUGACGGUACCUAGAUAAGAAGCACCGGCUAACUACGUG
rnacentral:rRNA from 1 species